rnacentral:rRNA from 1 species
UACGUAGGGGGCAAGCGUUGUCCGGAAUUAUUGGGCGUAAAGAGCUCGUAGGCGGUCUGUCGCGUCGGCUGUGAAAACCCGGAGCUCAACUCCGGGCCUGCAGUCGAUACGGGCAGACUGGAGUUCGGCAGGGGAGGCUGGAAUUCCUGGUGUAGCGGUGAAAUGCGCAGAUAUCAGGAGGAACACCGGUGGCGAAGGCGGGUCUCUGGGCCGAUACUGACGCUGAGGAGCGAAAGCGUGGGGAGCGAACAGG